rnacentral:rRNA from 1 species
GAUGAACGCUGGCGGCGUGCCUAAUACAUGCGAGUCGAGCGAACAGACGAGGAGCUUGCUCCUCUGACGUUAGCGGCGGACGGGUGAGUAACACGUGGAUAACCUACCUAUAAGACUGGGAUAACUUCGGGAAACCGGAGCUAAUACCGGAUAAUAUAUUGAACCGCAUGGUUCAAUAGUGAAAGACGGUUUUGCUGUCACUUAUAGAUGGAUCCGCGCCGCAUUAGCUAGUUGGUAAGGUAACGGCUUACCAAGGCAACGAUGCGUAGCCGACCUGAGAGUGGGGCGGGCAACAAGGGAACUGAAACACGGCCAAGACCCUGGGGGGAGGAGGAGGGAGGAAUCUUCCCGCAAGGGGAGAAAGUUGGACGGAGCACCGCGGGGUGAGGGAUGAAGGUCUGCGGACCAAAAACCUUUUUUAUAAGGAAAAAAAAAAUUUGUAAGAAAUUAUGCACUUCUUGAGGGUACCCAAUAAAAAAGCCCCGGCAAACUACGUC